rnacentral:rRNA from 1 species
AACGAACGCUGGCGGCGUGCUUAACACAUGCAAGUCGAACGAGACCUUCGGGUCUAGUUGGGGAGGGGUGGGUAACGAGUGGGAACCUGCCCGUAGGUUCGGAGUAACUGACCGAAGGGGGUGCUCAUACCGGAUAAUGUCUUAGGAGCAAAGAUUUAUCGCCGUUGGGUGGGCGCGCGUUGGAUUAGCUGGUUGGUAGUGUAAAAGCCUACCAAGGCGACGAUCCAUAGCUGGUCUGAUAGGAUGAUCAGCCACACUGGGACUGAGACACGGCCCAGACUCCGACGGAAGGGAGCAGUAGGGAAUACUAUACAAGGAGCGAAGGUCUGAUCCAGCAAUGCCGCGUGAGAGAUGAAGGCCUUAGUGUUGUAAAUCUCUUUGACCCGAGAUGUUAAUGACAGUACCGGGUGAAGAAGCACCGGCUAACUCCGUG